rnacentral:rRNA from 1 species
UACGUAGGGGGCGAGCGUUGUCCGGAUUCAUUGGGCGUAAAGAGCUCGUAGGCGGCCUCGAAAGUCAGGUGUGAAACCUCCAGGCUCAACCUGGAGCCGCCACCUGAUACUGCGAUGGCUAGAGUCCGGUAGGGGAUCACGGAAUUCCUGGUGUAGCGGUGAAAUGCGCAGAUAUCAGGAGGAACACCGGUGGCGAAAGGCGGUGAUCUGGGGCCGGUACUGACGCUGAGGAGCGAAAAGCGUGGGGGAGCGAACAGG